AGGUUUCGGCCAAAUGAUAGGAAUGCUUAGUGGCGGACUGGUGAGUAACGCGUGAGGAACCUACCUUCCAGAGGGGGACAACAGUUGGAAACGACUGCUAAUACCGCAUGACGCAUGACCGGGGCAUCCCGGGCAUGUCAAAGAUUUUAUCGCUGGAAGAUGGCCUCGCGUCUGAUUAGCUAGAUGGUGGGGUAACGGCCCACCAAGGCGACGAUCGGUAGCCGGUCUGAGAGGAUGAACGGCCACAUUGGGACUGAGACACGGCCCAAACUCC
rnacentral:rRNA from 1 species